rnacentral:rRNA from 1 species
AGAGUUUGAUCCUGGCUCAGAACGAACGCUGGCGGCAUGGAUUAGGCAUGCAAGUCGAACGCUUUUAAUGUUGUAGCAAUACAUCAUUAAGAGAGUGGCGCAAGGGUGAGGAACACGUGAGUAAUCUGCCCUCAAGUUGGGGAUAACCCCGCGAAAGCGGGGCUAAUACCGAAUGUGGUUAUACGAACGCAUGUUUGUAUAACUAAAGGUUUACUGCUUGAGGAUGAGCUCGCGUCCCAUUAUGCUAGUUGGUGAGGUAACGGCUCACCAAGGCUAUGACGGGUAGGUGGUCUGAGAGGAUGGUCACCCACACUGGGACUGAGACACGGCCCAGACUCCUACGGGAGGCAGCAGUGGGGAAUUUUGGACAAUGGGGGCAACCCUGAUCCAGCCAUGCCGCGUGAGUGAAGAAGGCCUUCGGGUUGUAAAGCUCUUUCAGACGGAAAGAAACGGUCACGGCCA